GGGGAUGUAGCUCAGUUGGUAGAGUGCUUGCCUUGCAUGCACAAGGCCCUGGGUUCCAUCCCCAGCAUCACCA
rnacentral:tRNA from 1 species